rnacentral:misc_RNA from 1 species
AAGAUUUAAAAAAAAAAAAAAAAGUAGACUUGUGAACGAAUAAAUAAGCUAAACCUAUAGACCAAAUCUUAAAUGCAUCUCCAUUCAACUGGAUCAAAAUAUCCUCAUGAUAUAACCGAGGAACCAUCCUAUUUGAGUCAUAAAGACACUUGUAAAUGUAAAGUAAACUAACAGCUACAUAGAUUAAUAGCCAACAACCUAAGCAUAAAUUUAUGAUACUAUUUCAUCGAAUCUCUAGUUAAAAAGGGCUGCAUUCAAAAAUUAAGAAUACUUUUCUUCAGGAUAGUAUCUGUUUCAGUCCGCACUAAUCAUAUCAACCAAAAGCAAACACCAUUUCAAAAAGAAGCAUAGAAGGGGGAAAUUCGCAUAAACCUGAUGAUAUUAUGAACUUUUAUCACUUGGAUUUCACAUUUAAUGACAUGGAAGAAAACCCACCAAUAAAAUUACCU